GCUAACGCAUUAAGCAUUCCGCCUGGGGAGUACGGCCGCAAGGCUGAAACUCAAAGGAAUUGACGGGGGCCCGCACAAGCGGUGGAGCAUGUGGUUUAAUUCGAAGCUACGCGAAGAACCUUACCAGGUCUUGACAUACUAUGCAAAUCUAAGAGAUUAGACGUUCCCUUCGGGGACAUGGAUACAGGUGGUGCAUGGUUGUCGUCAGCUCGUGUCGUGAGAUGUUGGGUUAAGUCCCGCAACGAGCGCAACCCUUAUUAUCAGUUGCCAGCAUUAAGUUGGGCACUCUGGUGAGACUGCCGGUGACAAACCGGAGGAAGGUGGGGAUGACGUCAAAUCAUCAUGCCCCUUAUGACCUGGGCUACACACGUGCUACAAUGGAUGGUACAACGAGUUGCGAACUCGCGAGAGUAAGCUAAUCUCUUAAAGCCAUUCUCAGUUCGGAUUGUAGGCUGCAACUCGCCUACAUGAAGUCGGAAUCGCUAGUAAUCGCGGAUCAGCAUGCCGCGGUGAAUACGUUCCCGGGCCUUGUACACACCGCCCGUCACACCAUGAGAGUUUGUAACACCC
rnacentral:rRNA from 2 species